UACAGAGGGUGCAAGCGUUAUUCGGAAUUACUGGGCGUAAAGCGCGCGUAGGUGGUUUGUUAAGUCGGAUGUGAAAGCCCCGGGCUCAACCUGGGAACUGCAUCCAAAACUGGUAAGCUAGAGUACGGUAGAGGGUGGUGGAAUUCCCUGUGUAGCGGUGAAAUGCGUAGAUAUAGGAAGGAACACCAGUGGCGAAGGCGACUACCUGGACUGAUACUGACACUGAGGUGCGAAAGCGUGGGGAGCAAACAGG
rnacentral:rRNA from 1 species